rnacentral:lncRNA from 1 species
GGAAUUUGAGAAGACCGAUCGAAGAAGUCAUUCCUAUACUUGAGAAAAAGCUGACCAAUGCCGCAGGCAGGGAAGUUGUCUUGUGGUUCAUGGAGGAAAAAACGAACGACAUAACGAAACAGGUAACUUGAGACAGGGCCAAUGUUUUGCAUUUAUGCUUUUGGAAUAAGAUGAAGCCUAAUUUAGUUUUAGUUGUUGUUGUUGUACUUUCAGGCAUGUGUGGUGCAACCUAAAGCCGAAAUCGAUCUCCAAUUCGAGUCUACCAAGCUGAGCACUCCUUGGGGAUAUGUUAGUGCAAUAGCUUUAUGUGUUACAACUUUCGGGACCAUUGCUUUAAUGAGCGGAUUCUUCUUGAAACCCGGUGCUACAUUUGACGACUAUCUCGCCGAUGUCUUGCCUCUCUUCGGUGGCUUCAUCUCCAUUUUGGGAGUUUCCGAGGUAUGCCAUUAUUUUCCGAAUGGAGCCACAUAAGUAAUAUGUAUAUCUUAUCCCUUGGUGGAGCCAAGAGGGGCAGGCAAGGGCCUAGCCCUUAAAAUGGAAAAAUUUUCAUUUAGGUCAUUUAUAAUUUAUAAAAUUUUAAAUUAAUAAUGGUAAAAUUGCAUUUUCCCCUAAAUAAUAAAAAUUUAAUUUAAUCUUUUAAAAAUUAUAAAAAUAUAGUCUAUUAAAAUGGUGAAGUUGUAUUUUUAGUAUCGUAUAAAUAUACAAUUUAAUUUUGGCCUCCAAAAAAAAUUUUAUGGCUCUGCAACUGAUCUUAUCCGAGGCAUAUCUUUCCAUAUGUGAGUUUCUAAGGUAUGUCAGAACUUUCCGUGGGGGAGUUUCUGAGGCAUUUUAACCCCAAGUUGCAUUUGUUCCCUUUUAGCUUAGAAUAAUGUGGUAUCUGUUCUUAGUGGUUGUUCAAGUCUGUGCAUUACUCCUCUUAAUCCGAACGGAGGGAUUGUAACCUGACGUUGCUAGAAUAAGAUAGCAUCUGUUCUCGUGAUUGUUCAAAGGUUGUGCAUUACUCCUCUUAAUCUGAACGGAGGGAUUGCAGGGAGGCAUUGUAUACUGAUUGUUCAAAGGCUGUGCAUUACUCCUAAUCCGAACAGAGGGAUUGCGAGGAGGCAUUGUAACCUGAAGUUGCAUUUUUUGCGGUUGUUGGUAGAAUAAAAUAGUAUUUGUUCUCGUGAUUGUUCAAAGGCUGUGCAUUAAUCCUCCUAAUCCGAACAUAGAGAUUGUGGUGGAGACAUUUAACCCGAAGUUGCAUUUUUGUUGUACAUUUAAUAGUUUCCUCGCUCUUGCUACGUAUUUACGUACAAAGUUAUUCAAGAGCGUAUCUCUCAUCUUUGGCAGAUAGCCACGAGGGUGACAGCGGCUCGUUACGGUGUUAAACUCAGCCCCUCAUUUCUUGUUCCAUCCAAUUGGACCGGUUGUUUAGGUGUGAUGAACAAUUACGAGUCAUUGCUUCCAAAUAAGAAGGCUCUUUUCGAUAUCCCGGUGGCACGUACAGCUAGCGCUUACUUGACAUCACUGGUGCUUGCAAUCGCUGCCUUCAUAUCUGAUGGCAGCUUUAAUGGUGGCAAUAACGCAUUGUAAGAUCUGUUAUAGUAUUAUGCUAUAUACUUGGAUUAUGGUGCGAGUUUCAAAGUCAAGUAUAUAAAAUCCCCAUUUGUUAUCCGAUGUGAAUCAGGUUCAUAAGGCCUCAGUUCUUCUACAACAAUCCGCUGCUUUCUUUCGUCCAAUUUGUUAUCGGACCAUAUGCGGAUGAACUCGGAAACGUAUUACCAAAUGCCGUGGAAGGGGUCGGAGUUCCUGUUGAUCCCCUAGCUUUUGCUGGACUUUUGGGUAAGUUUCUUUGCCUUAUUGAUCAUUGUUGUAAUUUUUCCAUUCUUGCUCUCGUAAAGGCAAACUUUGGAAAAGAAAAUCCUUAGGGUUAUAAAAUAAAUGAAUCAAGCGUGAACAGACAUAAACGAGCUUGUUUGUGCAGUCCCUUAAGAAAUAUUUAAAUCAUAAAUUAAUAUAUGGUUAAAUUAUACUUUGACCCCCCAAAAAUAAUUUUUUUUUGUUAAAUCCCUUAAAAGAUAAUGUAAUCAUAAAUUAAUACAUCAUAAAAUUAUAUUUUGAUUUUUUAAAAUUUAUAAUUCAAUUCCGGCCCUCCUAAAAGAAUUUUUAGAUUUGCCCCUGAACAAGCUUUAUUCAUGGUUGGUUUGUUUAAUAAACAAACAUUAAAAUAUUAUUUAUAUUUGUUUAUUUAGAUUGAUAAGCGAACAUGAAGGUACAAAAAUUAAACUGUUCAUGAAUUGGUCUUUCAUUGUUGAUUUUCGCAGGAAUGGUGGUGACUUCUUUGAACUUGUUGCCUUGCGGAAGACUUGAAGGUGGCCGAAUAGCUCAAGCGAUGCUCGGACGUAGUACAGCUACGUUGUUGUCCUUUGCCACGUCCCUUCUCCUUGGCAUCGGUGGUCUAAGCGGAAGCGUACUUUGCUUGGC